rnacentral:rRNA from 1 species
AUGACCAAGGAUAAGUUCCAGAACUUGCAACAGAAGUUUACAAAGAGAAUGGUUGAGUGGGACGCGGCACAAAUGCUAGCUCAAAGCGGGAGAGAAGUCUUGAUCAAGUCGGUGGCCUUGGCGAUCCCCACAUACAUUAUGAGUGUGUUUCGCCUCCCCGCCUCCACCUGUGAGGAUCUCAUGCGGAUGAUACGCAAUUUCUACUGGGGUGUGGAGAAGGGCCAGAAGAAGAUGCAUUGGAAGGCGUGGACUCACCUGAUCAAACCGAAAGCACAAGGAGGUCUCGGCUUCCCAGAUCUAAGGCUCUUCAAUCAAGCGCUACUGGCACGACAAGCUUGGAGGCUGCUGUCCAACCCAAACAGCUUGUGUGCGCGGCUUCUAAAGGCACGGUAUUAUCCUAAUGGCGAGCUGGAGGAUACAAUAUUUCGGACGGGAGCUUCCGCUACGUGGCAAGGGUGCAAUAUGGUUUGGAAUUGUUGA